GAUGAACGCUAGCUACAGGCUUAACACAUGCAAGUCGAGGGGCAGCAUGGUCUUAGCUUGCUAAGGCCGAUGGCGACCGGCGCACGGGUGAGUAACACGUAUCCAACCUGCCGUCUACUCUUGGACAGCCUUCUGAAAGGAAGAUUAAUACAAGAUGGCAUCAUGAGUCCGCAUGUUCACAUGAUUAAAGGUAUUCCGGUAGACGAUGGGGAUGCGUUCCAUUAGAUAGUAGGCGGGGUAACGGCCCACCUAGUCUUCGAUGGAUAGGGGUUCUGAGAGGAAGGUCCCCCACAUUGGAACUGAGACACGGUCCAAACUCCUACGGGAGGCAGCAGUGAGGAAUAUUGGUCAAUGGGCGAGAGCCUGAACCAGCCAAGUAGCGUGAAGGAUGACUGCCCUAUGGGUUGUAAACUUCUUUUAUAAAGGAAUAAAGUCGGGUAUGGAUACCCGUUUGCAUGUACUUUAUGAAUAAGGAUCGGCUAACUCCGUGCCAGCAGCCGCGGUAAUACGGAGGAUCCGAGCGUUAUCCGGAUUUAUUGGGUUUAAAGGGAGCGUAGAUGGAUGUUUAAGUCAGUUGUGAAAGUUUGCGGCUCAACCGUAAAAUUGCAGUUGAUACUGGAUAUCUUGAGUGCAGUUGAGGCAGGCGGAAUUCGUGGUGUAGCGGUGAAAUGCUUAGAUAUCACGAAGAACUCCGAUUGCGAAGGCAGCCUGCUAAGCUGCAACUGACAUUGAGGCUCGAAAGUGUGGGUAUCAAACAGGAUUAGAUACCCUGGUAGUCCACACGGUAAACGAUGAAUACUCGCUGUUUGCGAUAUACAGCAAGCGGCCAAGCGAAAGCGUUAAGUAUUCCACCUGGGGAGUACGCCGGCAACGGUGAAACUCAAAGGAAUUGACGGGGGCCCGCACAAGCGGAGGAACAUGUGGUUUAAUUCGAUGAUACGCGAGGAACCUUACCCGGGCUUAAAUUGCAGAUGAAUUACGGUGAAAGCCGUAAGCCGCAAGGCAUCUGUGAAGGUGCUGCAUGGUUGUCGUCAGCUCGUGCCGUGAGGUGUCGGCUUAAGUGCCAUAACGAGCGCAACCCUUGUUGUCAGUUACUAACAGGUUCCGCUGAGGACUCUGACAAGACUGCCAUCGUAAGAUGUGAGGAAGGUGGGGAUGACGUCAAAUCAGCACGGCCCUUACGUCCGGGGCUACACACGUGUUACAAUGGGGGGUACAGAGGGCCGCUACCACGCGAGUGGAUGCCAAUCCCCAAAACCUCUCUCAGUUCGGACUGGAGUCUGCAACCCGACUCCACGAAGCUGGAUUCGCUAGUAAUCGCGCAUCAGCCACGGCGCGGUGAAUAUGUUCCCGGGCCUUGUACACACCGCCCGUCAAGCCAUGGGAGCCGGGGGUACCUGAAGUGCGUAACCGCGAGGAGCGCCCUAGGGUAAAACUGGUGACUGGGGCU
rnacentral:rRNA from 1 species